AUAGCAUAUCAAUAAGCGGAGGAAAAGAAACUAACAAGGAUUCCCCUAGUAACUGCGAGUGAAGCGGGAAAAGCUCAAAUUUAAAAUCUGGCGGUCUUUGGCCGUCCGAGUUGUAGUCUGGAGAAGUGCUUUCCGCGCUGGACCGUGUAUAAGUCUCUUGGAACAGAGCGUCAUAGAGGGUGAGAAUCCCGUCUUUGACACGGACUACCAGUGCUUUGUGAUGCGCUCUCAAAGAGUCGAGUUGUUUGGGAAUGCAGCUCAAAAUGGGUGGUAAAUUCCAUCUAAAGCUAAAUAUUGGCGAGAGACCGAUAGCGAACAAGUACCGUGAGGGAAAGAUGAAAAGCACUUUGGAAAGAGAGUUAAACAGUACGUGAAAUUGCUGAAAGGGAAACGCUUGAAGUCAGUCGCGUCUGCCGGAACUCAGCCUUGCUUUUGCUUGGUGCACUUUCCGGUUGACGGGCCAGCAUCGAUUUUGACCGUCGGAAAAGGGCUAGGGAAAUGUGGCACCUUCGGGUGUGUUAUAGUCUCUAGUCGCAUACGGCGGUUGGGAUCGAGGACCGCAGCGCGCCGCAAGGCAGGGGUUCGCCCACUUUCGCGCUUAGGAUGCUGGCAUAAUGGCUUUAAACGACCCGUCUUGAAACACGGACCAAGGAGUCUAACAAACCUGCGAGUGUUUGGGUGGUAAACCCGAGCGCGUAAUGAAAGUGAAAGUUGAGACCUCUGUCGUGGAGGGCAUCGACGCCCGGACCUGACGUUCUCUGAAGGAUCCGCGGUAGAGCAUGUUUGUUGGGACCCGAAAGAUGGUGAACUAUGCCUGAAUAGGGUGAAGCCAGAGGAAACUCUGGUGGAGGCUCGUAGCGAUUCUGACGUGCAAAUCGAUCGUCAAAUUUGGGUAUAGGGGCGAAAGACUAAUCGAACCAUCUAGUAGCUGGUUCCUGCGAGCCCUCCUCCUCCCGGUUUA
rnacentral:rRNA from 1 species